rnacentral:lncRNA from 1 species
CAGACAUCCUUUUGGCUGAGUUCUGCUGCCUGAAAACUUCUGUCAAAACACAGAAUCGUUUCUGGAAGUGAGACGAUUGAACUGGUUUCUUGCCAACAGGUGUCCCAGAAGGAGCGUUCGCAGCUCCCUGGAGGCGGGAACGGAGUCCCCCGGGGAGAGAGUGGUCCAGGGUUUGCCCUCAGGCGUCCACACUGUCCGCCGGCGAGGCUGGUCCUGUUCCCAGCACCCACGCUGCUAGAGCCACCGGAUCUCCCAGGAGGAGACCCAGCUGCACUCAGAAGAAUCACGCUGGCCUAGGAGAUGGACGGCGGCGUGCGGGGACCGUGUGCGGCUGCAAAGCUGAGCUGUCGUCUUGCCUGUGGCUUCCGAAAUGCAGCCCUGGGCCCUGUGAUCGCUGCAUUUUCUCUGCGCAGCUUUGAGGGACGGAGUGUGCUGACCAACAGAAGAAAGGCAAACAGCAGAAACUGACACUGUGGUGGCCACUGGACGUGGCCUCGGUCGGCUGCGGAGAGAGAAUUUAUUUCCACAGCGACCCUCAGGAGGCGCAGGUCUUGGCCAGACCCAUUCUUAGAAAGGAACAUGAGAUCAGAAAGGCUUGUGUGUUGUUUUAAAACAAACCCUGCAUCCACUGCUCACCUAGUCCUCUGUGAGGCAGGUGACACCUCCUCCUGAAGAGAAUCGGGGCGUCCCGCAACUACCCC